rnacentral:rRNA from 1 species
GGGAAUCUACCGUGCCCUGCGGAAUAGCUCCGGGAAACUGGAAUUAAUACCGCAUACGCCCUACGGGGGAAAGAUUUAUCGGGGUAUGAUGAGCCCGCGUUGGAUUAGCUAGUUGGUGGGGUAAAGGCCUACCAAGGCGACGAUCCAUAGCUGGUCUGAGAGGAUGAUCAGCCACAUUGGGACUGAGACACGGCCCAAACUCCUACGGGAGGCAGCAAUGGGGAAUAUUGGACAAUGGGCGCAAGCCUGAUCCAGCCAUGCCGCGUGAGUGAUGAAGGCCUUAGGGUUGUAAAGCUCUUUCACCGGAGAAGAUAAUGACGGUAUCCGGAGAAGAAGCCCCGGCUAACUUCGUGCCAGCAGCCGCGGUAAUACGAAGGGGGCUAGCGUUGUUCGGAAUUACUGGGCGUAAAGCGCACGUAGGCGGAUAUUUAAGUCAGGGGUGAAAUCCCAGAGCUCAACUCUGGAACUGCCUUUGAUACUGGGUAUCUUGAGUAUGGAAGAGGUAAGUGGAAUUCCGAGU